CCCCGUCCUUAGUUGCUACCAUUUAGUUGAGCACUCUAAGGAGACUGCCGGUGAUAAGCCGCGAGGAAGGUGGGGAUGACUUCAAUUCCUCAUGGCCCUUACGGGCUGGGCUACACACGUGCUACAAUGGCGGUGACAAUGGGACGCUAAGGGGCAACCCUUCGCAAAUCUCAAAAAGCCGUCUCAGUUCGGAUUGGGCUCUGCAACUCGAGCCCAUGAAUUUGGAAUCGCUAGUAAUCGUGGAUCAACAUGCCACGGUGAAUACGUUCCCGGGCCUUGUACACACCGCCCGUCACACCAUGGGAGUUGGUUUUACCUGAAGGUANUGCGCUAACCGCAAGGGGGCAGCUAACCACGGUAGGGUCAGCGACUGGGGUGAAUUCGUUACAAGGUACCGUANGGGAACCUGCGGCUGGAUCA
rnacentral:rRNA from 1 species